GAUGAACGCUGGCGGCGUGCCUAAUACAUGCAAGUCGAGCGAACAGACGAGGAGCUUGCUCCUCUGACGUUAGCGGCGGACGGGUGAGUAACACGUGGAUAACCUACCUAUAAGACUGGGAUAACUUCGGGAAACCGGAGCUAAUACCGGAUAAUAUAUUGAACCGCAUGGUUCAAUAGUGAAAGACGGCUUUGCUGUCACUUAUAGAUGGAUCGGCGCCGCAUUAGCUAGUUGGUAAGGUAACGGCUUACCAAGGGAACGAUGCGUAGACGACCUGUGAGGGUGAUCGGCCACACUGGAACGGAGACACGGUCCAGACUCCUACGGGAGGCAGCAGUAGGGAAUCUUCCGCAAUGGGCGAAAGCCUGGCGGAGCAACGCCGCGUGAGUGAUGAAGGUCUUCGGAUCGUAAAACUCUGUUAUUAGGGAAGAACAAAUGUGUAAGUAACUAUGCACGUCUUGACGGUACCUAAUCAGAAAGCCACGGCUAACUACGUG
rnacentral:rRNA from 1 species